UACAGAGGUCUCAAGCGUUGUUCGGAUUCAUUGGGCGUAAAGGGUGCGUAGGCGGCGCGGUAAGUCGGGUGUGAAAUCUCGGAGCUUAACUCCGAAACUGCAUUCGAUACUGCCGUGCUUGAGGACUGGAGAGGAGACUGGAAUUUACGGUGUAGCGGUGAAAUGCGUAGAUAUCGGAAGGAACACCAGUGGCGAAAGCGGCUUCCUGGUCCAGCACCGACGUUCAGGCACGAAAGCGUGGGGAGCAAACAGGG
rnacentral:rRNA from 1 species